AGAACGAACGCUGGCGGCAGGCUUAACACAUGCAAGUCGAGCGCCCCGCAAGGGGAGCGGCAGACGGGUGAGUAACGCGUGGGAAUCUACCCAUCACUACGGAACAACUCCGGGAAACUGGAGCUAAUACCGUAUACGUCCUUCGGGAGAAAGAUUUAUCGGUGAUGGAUGAGCCGCGUUGGAUUAGCUAGUUGGUGGGGUAAUGGCCU
rnacentral:rRNA from 1 species